rnacentral:rRNA from 1 species
GUUGAUCCCGCCGGAGACUACUGCUAUCAGAUUUCGAUUAAACCAUGCGAGGCAUUGGUUAUUUCCAGCAAUGGAAAUGGCCAAGCCACACAGCUGAGUAACACGUAGCUAAUCUGCCCUAAGGACAGGAAUAAUCCCGGGAAACUGAGAAUAAUUCCUGAUAGAUGAGAAUGGCUGGAAGGCGUUUUCAUCCAAAGGCCCGCAAGGGCGCCAUAGGAUGAGGCUGCGGCGGAUUAGGUCGUUGUCUGGGUAAUGACCAGACAAGCCAAUAAUCCGUAGGGGUUGUGAGAGCAAUAGCCCCCAGAUGGAUUCUGAGACAUGAAUCCAGGCCUUAUGGGGCGCAGCAGGUGCGAAACCUUCACAAUGCCUGAAAGGGUGAUGGGGGGAAUCUGAGUGGUUUCACUUUUGUGGAAUCUUUUGCCGAGUCUAGACAGCUCGGAGAAUAAGGGGUGGGCAAGACGGUUGCCAGCCGCCGCGGUAAUAACCGCGCCCCGAGUGGUAGUCACGUUUAUUGGGUCUAAAGCAUCCGUAGCUGGUUUGGAAAGUCUUCAGUGAAAUCUCACAGUAAACUGUGAGGAUGGCUGAAGAUACUUCCAGGCUUGGGGAUGGGAGAGGUCGGGGGUACUCAUAGGGUAAGGGUAAAAUCUGUUAAUCCUGUGGGGACCACCUGUGGCGAAGGCGCCCGACCAUAACAUACCUGACAGUGAGGGAUGAAAGCUGGGGGAGCGAUCGGGAUUAGAUACCCCGGUAGUCCCAGCUGUAAACGAUGCCCACUUGGUGUCUCAGAACUCUAGUGGUUCUGAAGUGCCGAAGCGAAGGCGUUAAGUGGGCCACCUGGGGAGUACGACCGCAAGGUUGAAACUUAAAGGAAUUGGCGGGGGAGCACUACAAGGGGUGGAUGCUGCGGUUCAAUUGGAUACAACCCCAGAAAUCUUACCAGAGAAGACAGCAGGAUGAGGGUCACUCUAAAGGGGUUACCUGACAAGCUGAGAGAUGCUGCAUGGCCGUCGUCAGUUCGUGCCGUGAGGUGUCUUGUUAAGUCAAGAAACGAACGAGACCCAUGUCUUUAGUUGCCACCGCGUUUUACGAAACGUGAGCACUCUAAAGGGACUGCCCGCGUUUGAAGUGGGAGGAAGGAGUGGGCGACGGCAGGUCAGUAUGGCUCGAAAUCUCUUGGGUUACACGCGGCAUACAAUGCUUAGGACAACGGGUUGCAAUCGCGUAAGCGAAAGCCAAUCUCUUAAACCUAAGCUCAGUUCGGAUCGUGGGCUGAAACUCGCCCACGUGAAGCCGGAAUCCCUAGUAAGCGGAGGUCAUCAUCUUUCGCUGAAUACGUCCCUGCUCCUUGCACACACCGCCCGUCAAGCCAACCGAUCGGAGAUUUGGUGAGGCUUAACUACAGUCGCAUUCGCAAGAAUGUUUUUUGUGUUUAAGUCGAACCAUUUCUUUGUUAAGGUGGGCUAAGUCGUAACAAGGUAGCCGUACGGGAACGUGCGGCUG